rnacentral:rRNA from 1 species
CCUACGGGCGGCUGCAGUGGGGAAUAUUGGACAAUGGGGGGAACCCUGAUCCAGCCAUGCCGCGUGUGUGAAGAAGGCCCUCGGGUUGUAAAGCACUUUCAGUGAGGAAGAACGCCUGGUGGUUAAUACCCAUCAGGAAAGACAUCACUCACAGAAGAAGCACCGGCUAACUCCGUGCCAGCAGCCGCGGUAAUACGGAGGGUGCGAGCGUUAAUCGGAAUUACUGGGCGUAAAGCGCGCGUAGGUGGCUUGAUAAGCCGGUUGUGAAAGCCCCGGGCUCAACCUGGGAACGGCAUCCGGAACUGUCAAGCUAGAGUGCAGGAGAGGAAGGUAGAAUUCCCGGUGUAGCGGUGAAAUGCGUAGAGAUCGGGAGGAACACCAGUGGCGAAGGCGGCCUUCUGGACUGACACUGACACUGAGGUGCGAAAGCGUGGGUAGCAAACAGGAUUAGAUACCCGAGUAGUC